CUGGUUGAUCCUGCCAGAGGCUACUGCUAUCGGGGUCCGACUAAGCCAUGCGAGUUGAGAGGGGUAAAGCCCUCGGCAUACUGCUCAGUAACACGCGGAUAAUCUACCCUUAGGACUGGGAUAACCCCGGGAAACUGGGACUAAUACCAGAUAAAUCAUAGAUACUGGAAUGUUCCUUGGUCCAAAACUCCGGUGCCCAAGGAUGGGUCUGCGGCCUAUCAGGUUGUAGUGGGUGUAACGUACCUACUAGCCUACGACGGGUAAGGGUUGUGAGAGCAAGAGCCCUGAGAUGGAUUCUGAGACAUGAAUCCAGGCCCUACGGGGUGCAGCAGGCGCGAAAACUUUACACUGCUAGAAAUAGCGAUAAGGGGACCCCGAGUGCCAGUACCUAGUGCUGGCUGUCCCGCUGUCCAAACAACAGUGGUUAGCAAGGGCCGGGCAAGACCGGUGCCAGCCGCCGCGGUAACACCGGCGGCCCGAGUGGUAGCCGUUAUUAUUGGGUUUAAAGGGUCCGUAGCCGGCCUAUUAAGUCUCUUGGGAAAUCUGGCGACUUAAUCGUCAGGCGUCCAAGAGAUACUGAUAGGCUUGGGACCGGGAGAGGUGGGAGGUACUCCAGGGGUAGGGGUGAAAUCUCGUAAUCCUUGGGGGACCACCGAUGGCGAAGGCAUCCCACCAGAACGGGUCCGACGGUGAGGGACGAAAGCUGGGGGCACGAACCGGAUUAGAUACCCGGGUAGUCCCAGCUGUAAACGAUGCUCGCUAGGUGUCAGGUGCGGUGCGACCGCACCUGGUGCCGCAGUGAAAACUUGAAGCGAGUCACCUGGGAAGUACGGUCGCAAGGCUGAAACUUAAAGGAAUUGGCGGGGGAGCACUACAACGGGUGGAGCCUGCGGUUCAAUUGGAUUCAACGCCGGG
rnacentral:rRNA from 1 species